GCCUCCGUAGCUCAGUAGGACAGAGCAGCGGACUUCUAAUCCGACGGUCGCAGGUUCGAAUCCUGCCGGAGGCGCCA
rnacentral:tRNA from 1 species